GAUGAAGAACGCAGCGAACGUGCGAGACGUAAUGUGAAUUGCAGAAUUCAGUGAAUCAUCGAAUCUUUGAACGCAUCUUGCGCUCCUUGGUAUUCCGAGGAGCAUGCCUGUUUGAGUGUCGUGAAUACUCUCAACUUCAACCCUUUUUUCGGAAAGGGAGGAAGGUUGGACUUGGGUGUUUGUUGAAGUGCGAGCUUCGACUCAUCCUAAAUGCAUUAGCGAUCUGCCUCGAUCACACACAAUGUGAUAAUUAAAACUAAAGCAUUGUUUAAUGAUCAAGUCGAGACUGCUUCUAACUGUCGCAAGACAAUAACGUGCAUACAUUUGUGCAUGUCAUUUGACCUCAAAUCAGGUAGGACUACCCGCUGAACUUAAGCAUAUCAAUAAGCGGAGGA
rnacentral:misc_RNA from 1 species